rnacentral:tRNA from 1 species
GCGGGCGUAGCUCAGUGGUAGAGCAGCUGCCUUCCAAGCAGCAGGUCGUGGGUUCGAGUCCCAUCGCCCGCU